UGGAGUUUAGCUCAGCGGUAGAGCGCUUGCCUAGCAAGCGCAAGGCCCUGGGUUCGGUCCCCAGCUCCAA
rnacentral:tRNA from 1 species